rnacentral:piRNA from 1 species
UAGACUGAGUUUUUCAAAAGU